UUUGGGGCAAGCAGAGAUCUGUGGGGUCAGGCUCAGAUGGAGCAGGGACCAUGGUCACAGACCGCUCACAAGGUCUCUGCCAGCUGUAGCCUCCAAGCCUCAGGGCUGGGGGCCUCUGGCCAGGGCCCUGGAAGCCAGGUUGGAGCAGCACCUGGGAUGGAUUAUGUGUGCCAGCAGGAAAUCRGAGACCCUGGAGGCUUUCCAGGCCCUGGAGGAGGGCCGUGUGGACCGGCUUGAUGGGAAGACCCCUGUGCCACCCAGCAAAGGUCGACUAGCUCGGAGGCAGUCCAGCCCCACCCUGGCCAGAGAGGGCCAGCGGCUAUCCCAGCAGCUUGAACAGCACAGCAGAGACCCCAAGGGGUCCCUGCGCUCCCUGAGCCCGGUUCGGCAGCUGGAGAGGAACAGCAAGAGCCACAGGGAUCCCCUGUGCCCCGUGAGCCCAGCUCCACGGGCAGAGAGGGACUGGCGGAAACCAAGAGAGUCUGUGAGCCCCAUUCGGCAGCUGGAGAGAGACAGCAAAAGCCUGCGCUCCACAAGCCCGGCUCACAGAUCAGAGAGGAGAACGGGGGAGGCUGCAAGCCCUCCCCAGGGCUCGGAGAAAGACUGGAGGAGCCGAGCGGAGUCCCUUCGCCCCACAAACUUGGAGAAGCACACAGAGAGAGACCGAGCUGCCUGGCAGACUGGGAGUACAGGGAAGCACAUGGACAGGAAGAGCCAAGGAGAUUCCCUGCACUCUGUGGGCCUCGGGAGGAGUUUGGAUAACAGCAGGCUUGGCCGAACAGGCCCUCUGCGAUCGGUGAGUCCCAGGAGACAGGCAGAGAGCACAUGGAAAAGCCAAAAGGAGAUCACCCCUGCCAGCCUGGUGCGGAGCCCAGAGGGGAAAUGGAUGAACUCGAGAGAGCUGCUGCACGUUGGGGGCCCCAGGAAGCACUCGGAGUGCGGCUGGAAGAGCCUCAAGGAAAAACUGCAGCCUUCCAGCUCAGGGAAGGGCACAGACAGUGACCAGAAAGGCAGAGGCAAGCCCCUGCGCCCUGUGAGUCCAGCACAACCUCUGGAGCAGGACUGGAAGAGUCAGGGAGAUGUCCACCAAGCUCAGAAGAUGGAGAAGAACUGGAAGCACCAAGAGAAGCCCAUGUGCCAUGUUGACUUGAUGCACCACCUGGAAAGGGACUGGAGGAGCCCUGCUAGGUGUCUAGAUGCAGGACCAUGGCCAGACAACAACUGGAAAAGGCCUGAGAGUCCAGCACAGCGGUUGGAAGAUGACUGGAAGGGUCCAGAGCCAGCCCGAGCCUCAAACAACCCAGAAAAGCCAUUGGAAAGUGACUGGGGGAACAAGAAGAAUUUCAUUUAUCAUUCCCAGCUGGGUGGAGGCGCCCACUCACCACAAAGCAGUGCCAGCUCCUCAGGAAGCCAGCACCCAUACCUGAAUGCCAGCGAGAAACACAACAAGGUAGGGGACAGUCCCUGAGAACGGGAUUGGGAGGGAUCUGGUUCAAAGCAAGCU
rnacentral:lncRNA from 1 species